UAGGUAAUAUACUUAAAAGAUACGAGAUAUAAGGAUGAAUGGUAUGUUGUGCAAAUGAUUGUACCAAGGGAUGUGUAUGACAUACAUAUUUGUUCUGAGAUAGAAAUAGAUGAGGAUUUCUUUCACAGAUGACUUGGGAUAGUACAGUGCCGACAUUGGAAGCACAUCUCCUCUGAUUAGAGAUGAUGUGUAACCUGAUAAUAUUGAUGUCAAUGAAUUAAAUCUGUACGUAUUAGAAGAUGAUGA
rnacentral:lncRNA from 1 species